rnacentral:rRNA from 1 species
UAAAACUCAAAUGAAUUGACGGGGGCCCGCACAAGCGGUGGAGCAUGUGGUUUAAUUCGAUGCAACGCGAAGAACCUUACCUGGUCUUGACAUCCACAGAAGUUUCCAGAGAUGAGAUUGUGCCUUCGGGAACUGUGAGACAGGUGCUGCAUGGCUGUCGUCAGCUCGUGUUGUGAAAUGUUGGGUUAAGUCCCGCAACGAGCGCAACCCUUAUCCUUUGUUGCCAGCGAUUAGGUCGGGAACUCAAAGGAGACUGCCAGUGAUAAACUGGAGGAAGGUGGGGAUGACGUCAAGUCAUCAUGGCCCUUACGACCAGGGCUACACACGUGCUACAAUGGCGCAUACAAAGAGAAGCGACCUCGCGAGAGCAAGCGGACCUCAUAAAGUGCGUCGUAGUCCGGAUUGGAGUCUGCAACUCGACUCCAUGAAGUCGGAAUCGCUAGUAAUCGUGGAUCAGAAUGCCACGGUGAAUACGUUCCCGGGCCUUGUACACACCGCCCGUCACACCAUGGGAGUGGGUUGCAAAAGAAGUAGGUAGCUUAACCUUCGGGAGGGCGCUUACCACUUUGUGAUUCAUGACUGGGGUGAAGUCGUAACAAGGUAACCGUAGGGGAACCUGCGGUUGGAUCACCUCCUUACCUUAAAGAAGC